UUGAAGCUUUCUUGUUUUUGGUUCCCUCCAUUGUUCACAAGCUGAGAAAAUGGGACCAGGUGGACCCGGAGGGCCACCGGGAUGGGGCGGCCCUCCUCCCCCCGGACCGGGAUUUUUCGGCGGUUUUUGUGACAUCAUUGGUGCUCGUGUGAAUUUUCUGUGCUGCUGCUGGUUGCUUCGGGACUGUUUUGGAGGUCCGAUGGGUCCGCCAGCGCCACCUGGACCACCUGGAUUUGGACCUCCUCCACCAUGAUUACAUGCUUUCUACCUCCAUUGUAUCCAAAAUUGUUAAUGAUCUUUCAAUCUUGUUAUCUUCCAAAAAUCAUAUUCUUUCAUAUCCAUACUCAUGGUGGUCCUUGUAACUUUCAAACUCCCAUAUGAAUAUUCUUGACUUGAUGCUUUUACAUGUAAGCAUCGUUCAAAUAAACACACCCAAUGUUUUCAA